UGGAUGUGGCCUGUGUGUGACGCAUCUGGCCCGUAGGCCGCCAGUUUAACACCCCUGAUCCAGAUUGUCUGUAGCUUCAUUCUUAGAGUCUCUACUGUUUGAACUAACUAAAUACAUUAUUUCAAAGAACAAAAAUUUAAAUUUAUCAGUUUUUCCCACAUAUAUUUAAACAAUUGAACAUGUAAGUGCCUCAUGACUUUUUCAUUCUAGGUACAGGGUUUCACAAAUCUUUUACAGUAAUGAUUUUUUUCUAUACAACUUGAGAAGGAUAUCCACUUCAAUAGAAACUUGUGGCUAUUAAUAAUCUGCUAGAACAUUAGAUUCAACAAGGAACAUGUUUGGUUAAUACAUGUCCCAAUAUAUUAGUAUUAGUAAAAGAUAUUAUUUUGCUGGAAAGAAUGAAAAAGUACACAUUUCCAAGCUUGGCACUUCAUGGAUAUGAUCAAGUGCAAGAAAAAAAAGUGUUAAUAUAAAUGGCUUAUCUGGAUCAUCAGUACCCUAAAACAUGCAUACUGUUCAUAUAUAAAUGUCAUGUUAAACAUGUAAAAUAAAAUUAAAAGUUUACCUAGAAAUAUACUAGCACAGCAAACUGACUUGGCCCUUUCCUCAACAUCAAAGACUAGAAAAUCAGAUUUAAUUAAAUGUUACUAUUUUAUUUGUGAAAAAACUACAAGCAGAAUUCAUAAAUAGACAUUUCUAUUUAAAGCAAGAAAAUGAUAAAGUGGCUUCUAAUAACAGUCGUGCACAUGCCGGUAACAGGAAUAUAUUAACAUCUUUUAUUUGCUAGACAAAGAGCAGUGUCCAAUAUAAAUUUCCCGAAAACAUUUAAGACCUGUGAAUUUUUCUGACCAGUUCACAAAAUCACCAUUGACACUUUUAGCAUGAAGAUUAAAAACAAACCUAACAGGACUGUCAGCUCUAAAGACUUUACAGAGCAGAAAACUUCCAAAGCGUUAUACAAGCUGUCUUUCUGGGCAAAUGAAAAAUAUAGCUCGUAUAAUACAUUAACAUAAAAAUUCACAAGAUAAAAUUAUGUUUUGACAUACUUAAACAAGCAUUCUCUAUUUGUCUCCAAACAAACAAAGCUAAAGAAAUAAUGUAACCAUCUUUACACAGUAAAUUAAGGUUACAAGUCAUACACAAGAACAGAACUGCUUGCGCAUUAAAAACUGUUCAGCUCCAUUGUCGUAUUGUAAAUGUUGGCUCUCAAAUCAUUUUUUUUUUCAGUUACAUACAAGCAAAGGUUAUAUAGUCAGCAAGUAAUAACUUCAAUAAUUUAUGGUAACAGUUUUUAAAAAGUAGACUGGAAAUGGUACUGGUAAGGCAGAUGUAUUUCUAUGAAUAUAGCCACUGCCCAGUUUUAAAAUAGAAACUGAUUUUGAAGAAGCAAAAUGCUUUCAAUUAAAACUGCCCAUCUUAAACAUUUUUGCUUUUCAUUGUUCUCUUUGCAUGACAUAUUUAAAGUAUUCAAACAGAGGAAGUCAAGCAACCUGUUGUGUGUAUGGAUGUGUAUGGGUGUGCAUGUGUGUAUGUAAAAAUUUAACUUUGAAAAUGUAACACUGUGCUUUUUCCUUACCUGCUUUCUGUGCCACUGGCUACAAAGCGUUUCUGGCCCUUCUUAUACACUAAUAUUUUAAAGCAUGCUCUCCAACUACUGAAUAGUUAAAUGAAAUGAAGGAAGUUAAGAUAAUCCAAUUUUCAAAUCUCAUGCUUUUUUUUUUUUAAAAAAAAAGGUGUUUUCUUGGUUACAACACAAUGGUAAAAAAUGUGGCCCAAGAAAAUUUGAAUGCUUAGCUGACAAUUUCAGCCAAAUGCAGUUUCAAUCACUCCACUUGUGCCAAAGAUGGAUUUGCAUACUUUAUUCUAACAAGAUAAUAUAGCACAGAGGCACACAUAGGGGAAAAAAGGAAAAAGAAAACCCAAAGAGGAUUUCACUGAAUUGGUAAGCCAAUGAGCAGCUCAUUAUGGUUAAAGCUUUUAUUCCCUAACCUAAGGGACAGGUUUCAUAAGGAAGAACCCAUUAACCCCUGCUGCUUACCCACUGGAAUGACAGCCUAUGAGAAGCCACCUUGGAAAUGAAUGGAGCAGCAAUGAUUGGAGGGUGGUAUCUGCUGUAACUGGUUUUCUUAAACACGCACACUGCUCUCCCCCGACUUCAACCAAGGCCGUAUUCUAGCAAGCCACAGAGGGAAGCACACCAUUUGUAUAUACUGGUGAACUUCCAGCAGACAUGCUCAGAGAUUGGGUCUUUGCUGGGAAGGAGCUAAAUGCAUACAAGCCUAAUUAAUUUAGAUGUAAGUUUCUUUUUUAAAAAAUCUGUGCAAAUCACACAUAUCUGGGACUAAGUUGAAAACAUCUCUAAAAAUUAUUUUUUUUUCUCCAAAAAUAAAUUAUGGCUGACCAAUUUACCCUCCCUGAGAUCCUUUAAAGGAAUAGUCAAACUUGUAAAAGGAAUGUUUACCAAUGUUAAAAUGUGGAUUGAUGUGGACUAUUAAAAACUACGAUAAUAUUGUAUUAUCAGAGCUUAAGAAACAUCUGUUUUUCCUUUGGUUCUUUUUUAUUUUUCAAUAAAUACUUUAAAAAUAAGUUUUCAAAAAAAAAA